rnacentral:sRNA from 1 species
UCAAUAAAAAAUUGUUCCCAUUUUGACAUCUCAUUUAAAUUAGACAUAUCUUUUUUAUUUAAUAUAACAACACGUGGUUUUUGGUUAAUAACUUCAUCUAUCAUAGGGUUUCUUGAACUAUAUGGAAUUCUUGCAUCUACUAGUUCAAACACUACAUCUACUUUUUUAAUUGUUCACUUACUUCUCUUUUGGCUUUCGCCAUAUGUCCUGGAUACCAUUGAAUAACCAUUCAAUUCACCUUACUUUCGUCA